rnacentral:rRNA from 1 species
CCUACGGGAGGCAGCAGUGAGGAAUAUUGGUCAAUGGGCGCGAGCCUGAACCAGCCAAGCCGCGUGAGGGAAGACGGUCCUAUGUAUUGUAAACCUCUUUUGUCGGGGAGCAAAAGAUGCCACGCGUGGCGUUCCGAGAGUACCUGAAGAAAAAGCAUCGGCUAACUCCGUGCCAGCAGCCGCGGUAAUACGGAGGAUGCGAGCGUUAUCCGGAUUUAUUGGGUUUAAAGGGUGCGCAGGCGGACGUGCAAGUCAGCGGUAAAAUUGAGGGGCUCAACCUCUUCGAGCCGUUGAAACUGGUUGUCUUGAGUGAGUGAGAAGUAUGCGGAAUGCGUGGUGUAGCGGUGAAAUGCAUAGAUAUCACGCAGAACUCCGAUUGCGAAGGCAGCAUACCGGCGCUCAACUGACGCUGAGGCACGAAAGUGUGGGUAUCGAACAGGAUUAGAUACCCGAGUAGUC